rnacentral:rRNA from 1 species
AUCCUACGGGAGGCAGCAGUGGGGAAUAUUGCACAAUGGGCGCAAGCCUGAUGCAGCCAUGCCGCGUGUGUGAAGAAGGCCUUCGGGUUGUAAAGCACUUUCAGCAGUGAGGAAGGCGGAGUCGUUAAUAGCGGCCUCGUUUGACGUUAGCUGCAGAAGAAGCACCGGCUAACUCCGUGCCAGCAGCCGCGGUAAUACGGAGGGUGCGAGCGUUAAUCGGAAUUACUGGGCGUAAAGCGCAUGCAGGUGGUUUGUUAAGUCAGAUGUGAAAGCCCGGGGCUCAACCUCGGAAUAGCAUUUGAAACUGGCAGACUAGAGUACUGUAGAGGGGGUAGAAUUUCAGGUGUAGCGGUGAAAUGCGUAGAGAUCUGAAGGAAUACCGGUGGCGAAGGCGGCCCCCUGGACAGAUACUGACACUCAGAUGCGAAAGCGUGGGGAGCAAACAGGAUUAGAUACCCUGGUAG